rnacentral:RNase_P_RNA from 1 species
CGAGUGGGUCGAGCGAUCGCCUGUCUUUUCCGCAUGGAAAAGAUGGGAGGAAAGUCCGAACUCCAGAGGGCAGAGCGCUGGGUAACUCCCAGGUGCCGUGAGGCAACGGAAAGUGCCACAGAAAACAGACCGCCGAAGUUUUCCCGUUUAUACGGGAAAACAGGCAAGGGUGAAAAGGUAGUGUAAGAGACUACCGCACAGGGUGGCGACACCCUGUGGCACGGCAAACCCCGCUCGGAGAAAGACCAAGUAGGGAAGCAUACACCCUCAGGGUGGGCAGAUGGCCCGUCUGAUGCUUCCGGGUAGGUCGCAAGAGGCACCCAGCAAUGGGUGUCCCAGAUAAAUGAUCGCUCUCGACAGAAUUCGGCUUAUAGACCCACUCGCUUC